rnacentral:rRNA from 1 species
AUGCCCCUGCAGCUCUGGUCCAUCAAGGGGGCGGAGAAGGUGCUUGGCAAGAAGUGCAUCAUCGACCGGCUCGACUCCAGGACGCUCGAGCGCGGGCACACGAAGACCUUUGCCUGCUGGGUGUGGGUGUGGGAUGUCGCGCUCAUCCCCACAAGGCACACGCUAUGGAGGACGGCUCUGGGCGCCGGGCGCAUCGAGGCCAUGCAAGGCUUCUCGCCGCCAAGCAGGGAGGUCGCCCCUCCGCCGUGUGUCAAGUGUCAUGACUUGCUCAUCCACGUCGACCUGGUGGAAGAUUGUUCACCACUGUCACCGCGCUCGUCCCACUCUGCUCAGAGUGGCCUCCCAUCCUCGAGCUCUGAAGAGGGGUGGAAAGUGCCGGAGAUCUGGCCGAGAACCUGGACCAUGCAUGUUGAGGAUGGCCAGGGGAAAGGCCGGCGCCACCCUGCUCUGGUGUCGCCAUCAGGCUGCGGUGGCAUCCAGAUAGGCCCUCGCCGCGACCACGACGACCACGACAAGGAGCGCGGCGGGCGGCGCUCAUGGAAGGAUACCCUCCUCAGCCGCGACAAGCUCCCCAAGCGCGAUGCAGCCCCCGCCAUGCGCUAG